CUAAAGUUUAUAAGUUUGGUAAGUUUUAAAUUUGUUGUCCAUUGCAGACACUCCUUGGCAUACGUUAGUCGGCUCUUGGACAAAUAUAGUUGAUCAGGCUAUAUUCUUCCCAGUUCCGAUUACAUGUCCCAAGGCAUACCUGCACUGCACAACUUAUUUAUAAUACUUCUAUAUUGUUUUAAUUAUGAUACUGACCAUGUUAUUAAUAUGAAAUGAAUGCAUGCCUACUUUACAAAAACUAAAUAAAUUUAAUUUUAAAAGUAUGACUCUUACUCAGAGUGUUUUUGCCCAGUUGUGUUUAUAGUUGUAUACCAAAAAUGGUUUUGAUAUACUUAAUUCACUAUAAACAAUGCUCUGAUACCAAUCUGUCACACCCCCAAACCAGAACGGCGGAAACGUUCGGGGGCGGAGGACGUCAUGUCAAAUAUCAUAACAAUUGAAUAGUAAAGAAAGUACACACCACCAUAAUAUAAAUAUAUUUGAAAAGUUUACAUGAUUGUAUAUGUUACAUGUUUGCAAAAGAAAUCAAAUACAAUAUGGUGAUCCAAAAUAUGUUACUAACGCCAACGCGUUAGUCUUCAAAAGUAGUUGCUACCUGGUCUAGCAGUUUCCUGAGAAUACAAGUUAUUUCAAAGAAAAAGUGUCAACAUUUAAGUUGGUGAGUUCAUAAGUGGUGUUUUGAGAAAAUGUAUGCCAUUCGAAAGUGCGUGUAUGUUUUCCAGAAAAUACCUUAUUUUCUAUUUGAUGUAUGAAAUAGUUUGAAAGAUUGUUGUAUGUACUAUAUGUAUUUGAACCAGGAAAAUCCCUUAUUUUCCUAAAAGUGAAAUGCAGUCUCAAAUGACCAAGACUGUAAGCUAUAAGAAACUAUGACAUGCUCAAAAGAAUGAUGUUGUAAAUCGUUAUUGUACAAAAUGAAUGUAUUUGAACCAGGAAAAUCCCUUAUUUUCCUAAAAGUGAAGUGCAGUCUUAUUGUUAAGUAAAACUAGUUGUGGAAGUGUUUUAACCUGAGUUUUGAUCAUGCCGAUAAUACCCUAGAAUAUAGUUAUUACCCCUCGAGCAUGAUUGAGUUAUGUAUUACUACGUGCAUGAGUCAUUGUUUUCGCGUGUUGUGAGUUCCUCAUAACCAUACUAGACGCAGUACCUAAUGUUGAAAUUUGUCACCCCAAUGACGGACUAUAGCUAACAGUCAGGGUGCAGAGUUGUCAGCCCCGUAUAGAUCUAUACACACUUGUCACGCUCUCCCUCCAGGAGACUCUGGUUAUAGGUGAGGACUUUCGUUUGGUACAAACAAAGCCAUAUGCCAUCACAUGAUUGCUAACAACAAGUUCACGAGUAAUAUGAUGAAAAUCGUUCGUAUGAAAUGAUUUCGUUUUCUACCGUGUUACAAAAACGUGAUGAUGAGUUGAGUUUUCUUGUAAAAGCAUCAUGUUAUAGUUGAAAUGGUUACUCUUGAUAUGAUGUAGUAUGCAAACGUAUAAAUAAAACCUAUUUCUAUUUAUAAAACAUAUUGUAUCCCAAGAGGGUAAAGUUGUGUUGUGAGGUGUUUUGCAUGAUAAUAACUUCAUAAGAUAGUUUAAAACAACAGUAUGAAAAGUAUAUAAAAAGAUCGAUGUUUCACACGAUUUUAGUUGUGUGUUUACUUGUAUUCCCCCCCUUAAAAGUGUUUCAAAAGCAUUUAAAAAGCAUUUAAAGUGUGGUUGUAGGGGUAUGAACUCACUUGAUUGAAGUGGUUGAUUUGAAGUAGUCGAGAGGAGAAUCGAGCAGAACUUCGACAGGAAGAGUUGAAAACGCGGGAAAAUAUCGGGAUUCUCGGGAAUCUCGGGAAUCUCGAGAACACAAAACCUUCCUUCGGGACUUGAAGGUGAAAACCGGGGCUUUGGGAGGGUCUCGGGGGCUUAAACGCAGAGUUUCGGCGCGAGAAAGAAAGGAACUGAACAAUGGAACUCGGAGCCCUUGAAAUCUACUUAUAGGGGCAUUUUUGGGGUGUGCCACGUCGUGGCAAGUGAUGGCCACGUCGUGGGGAGUCAAACCUAUCCUCUUCCAUUGAUUGGACGCCCUCAGUCACUUGCCGGGUCGCGGCAAGCUUGUGCCACGUCGUGGGGCCUGACAGCCUCAGAUUUUGGACCCCGAACUUGUAAAAUCCAUAACUUUCGCAUACGAGCUCCGUUUUCGACGUUCUUUAUAUGCACGCGUAGCUAAAAAUAUGAUCUACAACUCUCGUUUAGACUUCAUCGGCAAAUUUUGAAUUUAUUUUUAAUUAUUUAUUUUUAACGGGCCGGAACACGAAAAGUCCGUUAAAAUUCCAUAACUUCUUCAUCCGAUGUCCGUUUUCGUCAGACUUUUCGCCGUUGCGCUACUAAUGUUGAGACCUUCGAUUCUCAUUUAGGUUGUUUUGGUCAAAAGUAUCUCGAGCUCUAUUUCGAGUUUUUAGCUGUCUACUGCUAUACCCGAACCUUGGAAAAAUCAUAACUUCCUCAUACGAAGUCAGAUUUGGACGUUCUUUUUAUGUACGCUCACGGUUUGAUGUUAUCUAUAACUUUUAUUUAGAUACUUAAGGCUAAAAACUAUUGUAUUGAAACUUCGCGUUUUUCGUUUAAUCGGUGUUGCCGGUUUUGUCGGGAAUUUUAGAAUGGUUAUAACUUCCUCGUUAUAACUCGGAUUUUUGUGUUCUUUAUAUGUAUGAAAACCUUGUUACGAUAUUUACCACUUAGUAUACUCAAUUACGGUUUUAUAAAAGUUUAAAUUUUGACCUGAAUUUUGCUGUUGUUACAUUAUCCCCCCGUUAGAGAGAAUUUCGUCCCGAAAUUCGCAUUUUGACUGGGACUCCAAUUCUUGCGGGCAGGCGAGAGUGCUUCUGGUCGAUUUGUUCCUCUUGUUCCUUUAUGAAUCUAGAUCCUAAUGUGCGUGUUUCAGCGGACCUUCAUUACUCCGCCUAUCACUUCGACCGAUCGGGAUCGUGUGGUUUUGGGUUUAUUUACUUAUGUUCUUCUAAAUGCUAGCACAUUCACUCGAUGCAUUAGGGCAGCUACGUUUUAAAGUUCAUGGUUGAAUUUACUCCUAGUUUCUGAGCUUGGAUUUGAAUGUUCUGUUGGGGGAUACUACAGGAAGGUUGUAAAGAUAUAGUACUCCUCACAUGAGUACCUCGAGGUUUUUAAACUAGAAACCAAUUAGGGUUAGUGUCGGGUUUGUCGUGAUAAAUCGAUCGAGUUUCGUUAGUCGAUGGUUAAAGUGAAAGGGUCUACUGGUAUGGGUAGGGCCACACCAAUCCACGUCGAAUGCCGACGUCGGUACUUCUCAUUGUAAGACGUUCGUUAGUGGGAUAGUGCAUUCUACGUAUGUGUUCUCAGUGCUUUUUAGUCUAUCUCUAUUAUUACUACUAUGAAAGUUUUGAUUAAUGAUUGGGGUGUUUAUUCGAGUAGAUUUUUAAACUUGCGACUCACGGAACUCUUCUGCGUUCCUACUAUCAAAAUGGAAUGUAUGCAAAUAAGUUAUCAAGGAGAAAUGUACCCAGAAUAACCGUGGGGUCUGCAAUAGCCUCCUCUUGGCCCAUUGCGAAUACUCGGCCUCCUCCACUAGCAUUCUUGUUGUUUGCCUUCGGGCAGUUCCGUCGGAAGUGUCCCGUUGCUCCGCACUCAUAACAAGUACGGUCUACUCCCACAUUUGCAGCUGGAGCGGUUGGUUGGGCUAUUUCCCCGCAGUAGCGGACGGUGUGUCCCUUACUAUUGCACCUAAUGCAAUGCAUUUCACGACAGGGUCCGUGAUGAUGAAAGUUGCAUCGGUUGCACUUAGGCUGGUUGCCGUUGUACGACCUUGUGGGUGUAGGGGUGGUAGGGAUAGUAACAGAAUGAGCUGUCACUAACUGUUGCCUCUUGGGGUUCUCUUGCAUGGUUUCCCCCUUCCUCUUAUCCCAGGGUUUCCUUCGGUCCUCUAUAUCCUUCGGUGGCUCCGAGACAGCGGUAAUAGUACCCUGUUUAACACCGUGAUCAAUCAAUCGUUGAGCCAAGCGCUUCGCGCUGUCAAACGUGAUUGGGUUAGAGGCCAGGACAUGCCCUUGGAUCUGGGGUGAUAAUCCCCAAAUGUACCUCUCCACCUUCUUCGAUUCCGGGUUUACCAUACUUGGGCACAAGGCUGACAAAUCACUGAACCUAGCCGUGUAAGUGAUUACGUCCGAUCCGGUCAUCCUUAGGUUCCAUAGCUCAUGCUCUAAUUUUUGGAUUUCGCCCCUCGGGCAGUAUUCUUCCAGCAUCAAGAUUUUGAGAUCUUCCCAGCUCAUGGCAUUAGCAACUGGGAGAGAUAGGGCAUCCACAUGUCCCUUCCACCAGGUGAGGGCUCGAUCAGAGAAAGUGCAAGCGGCGAACUUGACUUUGCUGGUCUCUGGGCAUGCACAUAUCUCGAAGACCGUUUCGGUCUUCUCGAACCAUUGCAUAAGUGCAAUGACUCCUCCUACCCCGUUGAAAGUUUUUGGCUUUGCAUUCGAAAAUUCCUUGUAUGUGCAUUCUCUGAUAUAACCAUGGCCAGUGCCAUGAUUUAAGUGGUUGGUACUGCUUCCAGUUCCACCAGCUCCGUUAGUGUUUAUCUGCGUAAGAGCAGCUGCUACUGCUGCAGUGAUAGCAGCCUGAACCAUGACAGGAUCAUAUUGUGGGGGUGGUGGCGGCGGCGUAGGUGUUGCGUUGUUGAUGCGACGCACAGAUCUACGAGGCGGCAUCGCUGCCAAAGAAAUAACAAUGAAGACAAUAAGUCUUUUAAUGAUUGUAUGGUUUGGGUAGUAGGGGUCUCCUGCUAGGUGGAAAUCCAGCCAUUGUGUUUGUACGAGAAUAGGGAGAUAAGGAUUGUCUAGAACUAAGGCACAUAAGGUUGACAUCAAAGUUAAACUAUCGUAUGCAUAAAAUACUCCUAUAGUAUUCUAAAUGUUAUGUUUGAUUCUAAAGUUUAUAAGUUUGGUAAGUUUUAAAUUUGUUGUCCAUUGCAGACACUCCUUGGCAUACGUUAGUCGGCUCUUGGACAAAUAUAGUUGAUCAGGCUAUAUUCUUCCCAGUUCCGAUUACAUGUCCCAAGGCAUACCUGCACUGCACAACUUAUUUAUAAUACUUCUAUAUUGUUUUAGUUAUGAUACUGACCAUGUUAUUAAUAUGAAAUGAAUGCAUGCCUACUUUACAAAACUAAAUAAAUUUAAUUUUAAAAGUAUGACUCUUACUCAGAGUGUUUUUGCCCAGUUGUGUUUAUAGUCGUAUACCAAAAUGGUUUUGAUAUACUUAAUUCACUAUAAACAAUGCUCUGAUACCAAUCUGUCACACCCCCAAACCAGAACGGCGGAAACGUUCGGGGGCGGAGGACGUCAUGUCAAAUAUCAUAACAAUUGAAUAGUAAAGAAAGUACACACCACCAUAAUAUAAAUAUAUUUGAAAAGUUUACAUGAUUGUAUAUGUUACAUGUUUGCAAAAGAAAUCAAAUACAAUAUGGUGAUCCAAAAUAUGUUACUAACGCCAGCGCGUUAGUCUUCAAAAGUAGUUGCUACCUGGUCUAGCGGUUUCCUGAGAAUACAAGUUAUUUCAAAGAAAAAGUGUCAACAUUUAAGUUGGUGAGUUCAUAAGUGGUGUUUUGAGAAAAUGUAUGCCAUUCGAAAGUGCUUGUAUGUUUUCCAGAAAAUCCCUUAUUUUCUAUUAGAUGUAUGAAAUGAGUUUGAAAGAUUGUUGUAUGUACUAUAUGUAUUUGAACCAGGAAAAUCCCUUAUUUUCCUAAAAGUGAAAUGCAGUCUCAAAUGACCAAGACCGUAAGCUAUAAGAAACUAUGACAUGCUCAAAAGAAUGAUGUUGUAAAUCGUUAUUGUACAAAAU
rnacentral:lncRNA from 1 species